GAUGAACGCUGGCGGCGUGCCUAAUACAUGCAAGUCGAGCGAACAGACGAGGAGCUUGCUCCUCUGACGUUAGCGGCGGACGGGUGAGUAACACGUGGAUAACCUACCUAUAAGACUGGGAUAACUUUGGGAAACCGGAGCUAAUACCGGAUAAUAUAUUGAACCGCAUGGUUCAAUAGUGAAAGACGGUUUUGCUGUCACUUAUAGAUGGAUCCGCGCCGCAUGAGCUAGUUGGUAAGGUAACGGCUUACCAAGGCGACGAUGCGUAGCCGACCUGAGAGGGUGAUCGGCCACACUGGAACUGAGACACGGUCCAGACUCCUACGGGAGGCAGCAGUAGGGAAUCUUCCGCGAUGGGCGAAAGCCUGACGGAGCAACGCCGCGUGAGUGAUGAAGGUCUUCGGAUCGUAAAACUCUGUUAUUAGGGAAGAACAAAUGUGUAAGUAACUAUGCACGUCUUGACGGUACCUAAUCAGAAAGCCACGGCUAACUACGUG
rnacentral:rRNA from 1 species